rnacentral:rRNA from 1 species
UACGGGGGGGGCAAGCGUUGUUCGGAAUUACUGGGCGUAAAGGGCUCGUAGGCGGCCAACUAAGUCAGACGUGAAAUCCCUCGGCUUAACCGGGGAACUGCGUCUUAUACUGGGUGGCUUGAAUCCGGGAGAGGGAUGCGGAAUUCCAGGUGUAGCGGUGAAAUGCGUAGAUAUCUGGAAGAACACCAAUGGCGAAGGCAGCGUCCUGGGAAGUGACUGACGCUCAUGUGCGAAAGCUAGGGGAGCGAACGGG